UACAGAGGUCUCAAGCGUUGUUCGGAUUCAUUGGGCGUAAAGGGUGCGUAGGCGGCGCGGUAAGUCGGGUGUGAAAUCUUGGAGCUUAACUCCGAAACUGCAUUCGAUACUGCCGUGCUUGAGGACUGGAAAGGAGACUGGAAUUUACGGUGUAGCGGUGAAGUGCGUAGAUAUCGUAAGGAAGACCAGUGGCGAAGGCGGGUCUCUGGACAGUUCCUGACGCUGAGGCACGAAGGUCAGGGGAGCAAACGGG
rnacentral:rRNA from 1 species